GGUGUGGCUCAGUUUGGCUAGAGCGCUUGAUUUGGGAUCAAGAGGCCGCAAGUUCGAAUCUUGUCACC
rnacentral:tRNA from 1 species